rnacentral:snoRNA from 1 species
AGCCUCCAGCUCCCUUUCCCGUUGGGUGGAAACACUGGUCUGGGUGGCCGUAAGGAGGGAAAGAGAGACACACGGGAGCUGACCCCAGGGCUCUUAGAGCUUGGGGGCCAUUUCAAACAGGC